rnacentral:rRNA from 1 species
ACACGUGAGUAACCUGCCCCUGACUCUGGAAUAACCGUGGGAAACGACGGCUAAUACCGGAUAUGAGACGUCCACGCAUGUGAGCGUCUGGAAAGAUUUAUCGGUCUGGGAUGGACUCGCGGCCUAUCAGCUUGUUGGUGGGGUAAUGGCCCACCAAGGCGACGACGGGUAGCCGGCCUGAGAGGGCGACCGGCCACACUGGGACUGAGAUACGGCCCAGACUCCUACGGGAGGCAGCAGUGGGGAAUAUUGCACAAUGGGCGCAAGCUGAUGCAGCGACGCCGCGUGGGGGAUGAAGGCCUUCGGGUUGUAAACCCUUUCAGCAGGGAAGAAGCGAAAGUGACGGUACCUGCAGAAGAAGCGCCGGCUAACUACGUGCCAGCAGCCGCGGUAAUACGUAGGGCGCAACGUUGUCCGGAAUUAUUGGGCGUAAAGAGCUCGUAGGCGGUUUGUCGCGUCUGCUGUGAAAACCCGAGGCUCAACCUCGGGCUUGCAGUGGGUACGGGGCAGACCUAGAGUGCGGUAAGGGGUGACUGGAAUUCCUUGGUGUAGCGGUGGAAUGCGCAGAUAUCAGGAGGAACACCGAUGGCGAAGGCAGGUCACUGGGCCGCAACUGACGCUGAGGAGCGAAAGCAUGGGGAGCGAACAGGAUUAGAUACCCUGGUAGUCCAUGCCGUAAACGUUGGGCACUAGGUGUGGGGCUCAUUCCACGAGUUCCGUGCCGCAGCAAACGCAUUAAGUGCCCCGCCUGGGGAGUACGGCCGCAAGGCUAAAACUCAAAGGAAUUGACGGGGGCCGCACAAGCGGCGGAGCAUGCGGAUUAAUUCGAUGCAACGCGAAGAACCUUACCAAGGCUUGACAUACACCGGAAAAGUGCAGAGAUGUGCUCCCCGCAAGGUCGGUGUACAGGUGGUGCAUGGUUGUCGUCAGCUCGUGUCGUGAGAUGUUGGGUUAAGUCCCGCAACGAGCGCAACCCUCGUCCUAUGUUGCCAGCACGUUAUGGUGGGGACUCAUAGGAGACUGCCGGGGUCAACUCGGAGGAAGGUGGGGAUGACGUCAAAUCAUCAUGCCCCUUAUGUCUUGGGCUUCACGCAUGCUACAAUGGCCGGUACAAAGGGCUGCGAUACCGCAAGGUGGAGCGAAUCCCAAAAAGCCGGUCUCAGUUCGGAUUGGGGUCUGCAACUCGACCCCAUGAAGUCGGAGUCGCUAGUAAUCGCAGAUCAGCAACGCUGCGGUGAAUACGUUCCCGGGCCUUGUACACACCG